AAUCCAUCAGCAGUCAGAGCGCAAUCUAUAUGCAUUCAGACUUGCGGUGAGUCGGAUAUUUCAUAUUCAUUUCGAAAAUGCACAUUUCCCCUACUUCGGUGUUAAAAAAAAAAAAAAUCACCGCGCUCGGCAAAGGGAGCCACAACAAGGAGGCUGAAGAGCCGCGUGUUUCUGACCCCUGAUCAAAUUGAAGGAAUCCUGAAUCUAGCGACUUUGCCUUAUUGGACACUUUUGGAGACUCAACAUGAAAGCACGUAUCGCUCUUCCCAACGAGCUGCCAGUGUUGCUGUGGCCCCUGCCCCACCUGAAAGCAUUGACAGAGGGCUCCAUCUUCCUUGUGACGAUAGCCCCUUUUCCACCGCAGGAACUUUAUGAGGAACUUUCCUAUAUACCCUAGUAGUUAGAAAUACCCCCUACAUUUCCACCAAAAUCGACCUGGAUGAAAUGGACCAUAAGGACUGACCCUCAUGAGAUAAUCACUUGCUGAGAGGAAGUCUUUCGGACUUUGCUGGACACUGUGGACAGAGAAACUUAAGACAGUCCUCACCAUUCAGACUUUUUGUAAAACCCAGAACACGGCCCAAAAGUUUUGUUCUUUCUUGUUUUGUAUGUUUUUGCUUUACAUUUUAUUUACUGACACUUUCAUUAAAAAUCUGACCAAAUAUUGACUGUUUAUUUACAUUUCAUCAGUGUACAAAUACCACU